GCCCAACUCACUCCAGCCAGAAACCUUAUGUGCUUCCUCUGUGCCCCCAUGGCCCUGGUUCAGACCUUCCUGGGGGCCACUUCACAUCUCGUCUGCGCCGCCCAGAGCAGCGUCCUCCUACUCACCCUGCAAUGCCCACCAACCUCAUGCCCACAGCAGGGCCAGUUGCAUCAGGUUCAAUAGAGAGGUUAUGGGCAGAAUGGGGUGAAUUCUUAGAGAAUCUCACAAAAGGAGACGCGGAGGGCGGGAUGAGGAGUGUAAAACCAACUACUCUCCACCCCUGCCCGCCUCCUGUGGUAAGGUGCAGGUUCACCCACUGGUUAUGGCAUAAGGCAGCAUGUUCCAUGGGUUCUAGUGGGGCAGGGAAAGAGCCUGCAUUUUCAAGCACCUGCCGUGUGCCAGGCACGUGCUUAGCUUUUGCUAUCCAUGAUCUCAUCUAGACUUCACUCCAACUCCUGCUCCCCGACCAAGAUGUGGAAACUGAGGCUCGGAAGUGCAGCUCCAGCCACGCCUGGAGCCAGCCUGAGAAUGGAGUGUGUUCAACUCCAGGGUCUGGGUACUUCACCUCCACAGUGAACUGCAGAGUGGACUCAGCUCAUCUCAUGGGGGCUCAGAUGAGGAAAUGAAACCCAGAGAGGACAAGUGACUUGGCCCACAUCCAGCAGGAAGUCAGUGGCAGAGCUAAGACCAGGUCUCCCGGCUCCCCGUGAAAUGUUUCUGGCCUUAGCAGCACAGUGUAGAGCCAGAGGUUCUGAAAUCACCUUCUAGAAACAGCCAUGCCCUCAGAUGAGAGCAGAAGCCUGAAAUAAGAAGAAGGGGGCCUGCAAGGGACCCUUUUCCUACUCUUGGUGUGAAAGUAGAUUCCCAGAUACAAUGUGGGAUGCCUAGUUAGAUUUCAGCUUUAGUGGCCAGGUACGGUGGCUCACGCCUAUAAUCCCAGCACUUUGGGAGGCCGAGGUGGGUUGAUCACUUGAGGUCAGGAGUUUGAGACCAGCCUGACCAACAUGGCAAAACCUUGUCUCUACUAAAAAUACAAAAUUAGCCGAGUGUGAUGGUGGGUUCCUGUUAUCCCAGCUACUCUGGAGGCUGCGGCAGAGAAUUGAACCCGG
rnacentral:lncRNA from 1 species